CGUGACCCCAGGUCAGGCGGGAUCACCUGCUGAGUUUAUGCAUAUCAAUAAGCGGAGGAAAAGAAACUUACCAGGAUUGCCCUAGUAAUGACGAGCGAAUCGAGAAGAGCCCAGCUUGAAAAUAGGGUGCCCCCGGUGUUCAAAUUGUAGUCUGAAGAAGCAUCCUCAGUGACGGACCUAGCCUAAGUCCCCUGGAAAAGGGCGUCGGAGAGGGUGAGAGGCCCGUUAUGCCCGGACCCUAUCGUUCCAUGAGGCGCUGUCCACGAGUCGGGUUGUUUGGGAUUACAGCCCCAAUCUGUGAUAAAUUUCAUCCAAGGCUGAAUAUAGGUGAGAGAUCGAUAGUGAACAAGUACCGUGAGGGAAAGAUGAAAAGGACUUUGAAAAGAGAGUCAAAGAGUGCUUGAAAUUGUCGAGGAGGGAAGCGGAUAGGGGUCGGUGAUGCACCCCGAUCGGAUGUGGAAUGGCGAGAGCUAGUCCGCCGAUCGGCUCAGGGAGUGGACCAACGCGAGUCACGAUGGCCCAAGCCUGAGCUUUCGAUGUGCCGUGGAGACAUUGUCACCGUGAUUGUGGAAUGCAGCACACAUCAUUUCGAAGUGCCUCAACACCCACGUGCUCCCAACGUCGACCUACGGGCUUUCCAUCCGGCCCACCUUGAAACACGAACCAAAAAGUUUGACAUGCGUGCGAGUCAACGGGCCAAGAAACCCGUAAGGCACAAGAAAGCUAAUUGGUGGGAUACUUCAUGCGUGCACCAUCGAUCGACCUUGAUCUUUUGUGAAGGGUUCGAGUGUGAACAUGCCCGUCGAGACUCGAAAAAUGGUGAACUAUGCCUAAGCGGAGCGAAGCCAGAGGAAACUCUAGUAGAGGCCCAUGACGAUACUGACAUGCAAAUCGUUCGUCUGACUUGGGUAUAGGGGUGAAAGACUAAUCAAACCAUCUAGUAGCUGGUUCCCUCCGAAGUUUCCCUCAGGAUAGCUGAAGCCCCCGACAAGUUCUAUCGGGUAAAGCAAAUGAUUAGAGGCAUCGGGGGCAUAAUGCCCUCAACCUAUUCUCAAACUUUAAAUAGGUAGGACGGCAUGGCUGCUUCGUUAAGCCGCACCACGAAAUCAAGAGCUCCAAGUGGGCCAUUUUUGGUAAGCAAAAUUGGUGAUGCAGGAUGAAUCGAAAGUCGGGUUAUGGUGCCCAACUGCACACUAACCUAAAACCCACAAAGGGUGUUGAUCGAUUAAGACAGCAUGACGGUGGUCAUGGAAGUCGAAAUCCUCUAAGGAGCGUGUAACAACUCACUUGCCGAAUCAACUAGCCUUGAAAAUGGAUGGUGCUUAAGCGCGUGACCUAUACCCGACCCUCGGGGCAAGGGCCGGCCUCGAUGAGUAGGUGGGCACGAUGAUGGUCGUAAAACCUAGGGUACGAGCCCAUGCAGAGUGGCUUUCGAUGCAGAUCUUGGUGGUAGUAGCAAAUAUUCAAAUGAGAACUUUGAAGGUCGAAGAGGGGAAAGGUUCUAUGUGAACGACACUUGCACAUGGGUUAGUCGAUCCUAAGAGUUGGGAAGCCCAUCCGACAGUGUGUCCUACAUGAGCUUCGAAAGGGAAUCGGGUUAAAAUUCCUAAACUAAGACACAACGAUUGACUGCAACGUUAGGGAGUCCGAAGACGUCAACGGGGGCCUCGAGAAGAGUUAUCUUUUCUGUUUAACGGCCCGCCCACCUUGGAAACAGCUCAGUCGAAGGUAGGGUCCAGCGGCCAAAAGAGCACCACAUGCCACGUGGUGUCCGAUGCACCCCCGGUAACCCUUCAAAAUUUGGAGGACCGAGUGUCGUCCAUGCCUGAUCGUACUCAUAACCGCAUUAGGUCUCCAAGGUGAACAGCCUCUGGUCGAUGGAAUAAUGUAGGCAAGGAAAUUCGACAAAAUGGAUCUAUAACCUCGAAAAAAGGAUUGGUUCUAAAAGCUGGGCAUAGGGGUCCCAAUUAUGAACCCGUCAACUGUCGGUGUAUUGCUUGAGCUACUCCCACAAAGAGAGUGGGUAGCCGUAUGCCGGUCGGGGGAUGGACUAGGAAUGGCUCUUUUAGGGGCCUUCCUCGGAUGAUGAACAGUCGACUCAGAAUUUGUACGAACAAGGGGAAUCCAACUGUUUAAUUAAAACAAAGCAAUGCGAUGGUCCCUAUGGAUGCCCACGCAAUGUGAUUUCUGCCCAGUGCUCUGAAUGUCAAAGUGAAGAAAUUCAACCAGGCGUGGGUAAACGGCGGGAGUACUAUGACUCUCUUAAGGUAGCCAAAUGCCUCAUCAUCUAAUUACUGACGUGCAUGAAUGGAUUAACGAGAUUCCCACUGUCCAUGUCUACUAUCCAACGAAACCACAACCAAGGGAAUAGGCUUAGCAGAAUCAGCGGGGAAAAAAGACCCCGUUGAGCUUGACUCUAGUUCAACUUUGUGAAAUGACUUGAAAGGUGUAGGAUAAGUGGGAGCCCCCAGGCAAAAUUGAAAUAUCAUUACUUUUAACGUUAUUUUACUUAUUUCAUGAAUCAAAGAUAGGGCACGACCCUUCUUUUGGACCCAAGGUCAGCAUCAGUCGAUCAAUCCGGAUGGAAGACAUUGUUAGGUGGAGAGUUUGGCUAGGGCAACACAUCUGUUAAAAGAUAACGUAGGUGUCCUAAGAUGAGCUCAACGAGAAUAGAAAUGUCAUGUGGAAUAAAAGGGUAAAAGCUCAUUUGAUUUUGAUUUCCAAAAUGAAUAUGAACCAUGAAAGCGUGGUCUAUUGAUCCUCUAUACCUUCAGGAUUUGAAGCUAAAGGUGUAAAAAAAGUUACCAUAGGAUAACUGGCUUGUGGCAACCAAGUGUUCAUAGCGACAUUGCUUUUUGAUCCUUCAAUGUUGGCUCUUCCUAUCAUUGUGAAGCAGAAUUCACCAAGUGUUGGAUUGUUCACCCAUCAAUAGGGAACGUGAGCUGGGUUUAGACCAUUGUGAGACAAGUUAGUUUUACCCUAAUGAUGGCAACGGCACGAUAGUAAUUCAACCUAGUAUGAGAGGAACCGUUGAUUCGAAUAAUUGAUCAUCGUGCUUGGUUGAAAAGCCAGUGGCACGAAGCUACUGUGCGUUGGAUUAUAACUGAACACCUCUAAGUCAAAAUCUGAGCUAAAAGUGACGCACAUGCGUGUCGCUCAAUUGCCGACCCAUAGUAGGGGCCCAUAGCCCCCAAGGGCACAUGUCGUAGGUGCAGCCUCUAUGGCAGAUGAGCCACGCGGGCCUCUUUGGAGCUCAAUUCUCACCGA
rnacentral:rRNA from 1 species